rnacentral:tRNA from 1 species
UCUUCUGUGGUGUAAUAGGUAGCACAAAAGCUUUUGGCGCUUUUAGUAAGGGUUCGAGUCCUUUCGGAAGAA